AUUGAACGCUGGCGGCAUGCCUUACACAUGCAAGUCGAACGGUAACAGGUCUUCGGAUGCUGACGAGUGGCGAACGGGUGAGUAAUACAUCGGAACGUGCCCGAGAGUGGGGGAUAACGAGGCGAAAGCUUUGCUAAUACCGCAUACGAUCUCAGGAUGAAAGCAGGGGACCGCAAGGCCUUGCGCUCACGGAGCGGCCGAUGGCAGAUUAGGUAGUUGGUGGGAUAAAAGCUUACCAAGCCGACGAUCUGUAGCUGGUCUGAGAGGACGACCAGCCACACUGGGACUGAGACACGGCCCAGACACCUACGGGAGGCAGCAGUGGGGAAUUUUGGACAAUGGGCGCAAGCCUGAUCCAGCCAUGCCGCGUGCAGGAUGAAGGCCUUCGGGUUGUAAACUGCUUUUGUACGGAACGAAAAGACUCUGGUUAAUACCUGGGGUCCAUGACGGUACCGUAAGAAUAAGCACCGGCUAACUACGUGCCAGCCGCCGCGGUAAGAC
rnacentral:rRNA from 1 species